UCACAUUUUAUGGUAAACAGGAUGGCUGUGGUUGCUCACAAGUCAUGUGAUUUUGAUGUUCUUCCUUUCCAGGUUGACUGAGUGGUUGUGCCAAGUGGUUGAGGGACAGAAUGGGACUGCUUUGACAAUCCCUUUUGGAGGGAGAAGGACAUUUCUGGAAAAUACUACUUGUAACCAGGGAUAACUGCAGGAAGCUUUUCUAAGCUGGAGGACAGAAGAGGAGGACCCAGCACCUUGCCUAGGUGGACAAGUAAUGGCCAUGUACUGUCUGAAAGACAGAGCAGCCCACCAAAAUGCAAUGAGUGGGAAAGUGCUCCCUGGUCCCUCUAUACCAGAAGACAACAUCAGCUCAGGUUUGUGCUACAGACACCGAGUUAGCUGGAAUACAGGAGACGAUUCGUUCCAGUCGCCAGCAAGCCGCUCUCCCAGGGAAUAACAUGUGAUUAGCUACCUUACUGGUGACCACUUUUGUGACUGGUGAGGGGGAGUCACCAGCAGCAGCUCCUGCAGCAGCAAGAACCUCAGCGCCGCGCGCAGAGAAGCACGGCAGAAACCUCAGCCAGCUGCGCCUGCCCAGCGUUUAAACCAG
rnacentral:lncRNA from 1 species